ACGGUGCGCCACCCGGACAACACACCAGCUCCCGGUGAGCUGGUCAGGCUGUGUUUUGAGACCCACCGGACGACGACAGACCUCGGAUUCGCCAUGAAGUCUUCUGCCGAUCCGGUCUGUCUGAACGUCACGUCUGACAGCAAAGGUGUGGUCGCGUUCACUGUGCCACCUCAAGAUCAGAAAAUCGAAGACAUAUCGAUUCAGGCCACGAUACCGCGCCUAUCCGAGACCAGGUACCCGUACGGCGGAAGCAGUUGGUCUUCCGCCCGG